GACGGAGGAUGCAAGUGUUAUCCGGAAUCACUGGGCGUAAAGCGUCUGUAGGUGGUUUAAUAAGUCAACUGUUAAAUCUUGAGGCUCAACCUCAAAAUCGCAGUCGAAACUAUUAGGCUAGAGUAUAGUAGGGGUAAAGGGAAUUUCCAGUGGAGCGGUGAAAUGCGUGAGAGAUUGGAAAGAACACCGAUGGCGAAGGCACUUUACUGGGCUAUUACUAACACUCAGAGACGAAAGCUAGGGUAGCAAAUGGG
rnacentral:rRNA from 1 species